AUCUGACAUGAAAACUCUCUCCAAAAAGCCUUCUAGGGCCUUUACGACCCAUGAUCUGGCUGGACCAGAUUGUUCCUGGUUGAUAAACAUAUCUCAGAAACAAAUAAGAAUAACUAGAGUUGAACAGCCUAACAUCAUUCUAUCAUUAAAGAAUGUUCAAAUCACAUCAGAAACCAGUAGAAGCAAGAAAGAAGAGUGCUGGUUUCCAUCAAAAAUACUGUCUUUACAAUAUGCUCCAAACAACUUCUCCACAUGUGGUAAGAAAUAGGCACAGAAUAACCACUGAGAUAAUUCAGCUUAAGUCAAGGCACUGUCACGUGUCCUACUAAAGAUCAGUAUGUAUCAUCCUUAAGAGUGUAUAGAAAUAAUGAGCACUGAUGGAGGAAGCACAGAGAUACCCAAGGGAAAGCUUACAGGAAGGACCAGAAGGAC